CAGCCGCCGCGGUAAUACGAAGGGUGCAAGCGUUAAUCGGAAUUACUGGGCGUAAAGCGUGCGUAGGCGGUUUGUUAAGUCUGCUGUGAAAUCCCCGGGCUCAACCUGGGAAUGGCAGUGGAUACUGGCAAGCUAGAGUGUGUCAGAGGAUGGUGGAAUUCCCGGUGUAGCGGUGUAAUGCGUAGAGAUCGGGAGGAACAUCAGUGGCGAAGGCGGCCAUCUGGGACAACACUGACGCUGAGGCACGAAAGCGUGGGGAGCAAACAGGAUUAGAUACCCCGGUAGUCCCUGUCUCUUAUAC
rnacentral:rRNA from 1 species